rfam:Burkholderia multivorans ATCC 17616 DNA, complete genome, chromosome 1.
GCCCGGGGACGACCCCGGGUCAUUCGCUUCAACGGGGACGGCCCC